AGAGGCCCCCUGGAAGGCUAAGCGGGCGAAGUCCCCCUACAGUCUGUGGUAUUGUGGUUCCACUAGCCAAGAUAGCCUUUCCUGUCCGUUUAUUAGCUUUAGAAAGAAGCCAAGACAUUUAACCUGUUUGACAUUUCACCAGAGAAAAACAAAAACAUCUGCCCGAAAUAUUCAAAUAUUUAGAAAAACGUGGGAGGAAAAUUUCCCUUGAACUGGGAAAAGGAGGGAUGAGAGAAGCCAAGGGAUGAGAUCUUGGGACAAGUAAGCAACUCUCCAUCUUGUUUUGCUUUUCUGAGCACCAAGACCAAGCGCCACACCAUCCCUUCUGUUGGGCACCAUGCACCACCAAAGGCACCCCGACGAGGGGGCUGCUGGGCACUGAACCCCUGCUUGCUAAUCCUGUGCCUAAGCACAGGGCUCCAUCUUCCCAGAAGGAGGCAUCUUGUGCAAGUUCAUACAAAAGCACUUGAGAGACCAGCAUAGGUUACCCAUUACUGAUGAUACAGUUUUACUUAGAUCUCAUCGGAGGAAAAAAGUGUUGAGAGUGAACAGAUCCAUAGAAUCUGAUCCCAAGAUAAGAAUCCCUGUGAAAGUGUUUCAUUAGCAAGUAUUACUAGGAAAAAGUGGCAGGGGAGUGAAGAAGAGAGACAAGAAAGAGAAACAAGCUCAACGAAGACUCACGGAAGUCAACUGACAACUCUACGGUGAGUCUCUGGAGACAAAGUACUUGGGAGUGUCCUAAUCAAGGGCAAGAGAGCUGGACUGUUUUUACUCCAGCGCCUCUCAGUUGUUGCUUAGGGGCUGCCCCCAGUACAAUUUACAGGUACUCCUUGCUCUCAAUUCCUACUGACCAAUUCCUAGCAGCCUAAGGUCAUCCUCCCACGAAGAGGAGAGGCUGGCGGUCGGGAAUGAAUGCACCCAGCACACCAAAGAUGGCAAAAAGCUCUAAAGGGAUACAGCGUAGCCCCGAAACCCUUGUGAAGUCCAGUAUUUUCUUCCACCAGUUUUGCCUAAAUCUGGCUGUGAUAAUGCUGAGAACAUUUCUGUUAUUCUCAGGCCUCAUGGGAUUCUCAUGCAGGGACUCCUUCCCUCUUCCACUUCUUUUAGCUCACCAUCAAAGACCAUGGCUCGAAGACCUUUCAGACCUAAAUGGAGUGAGUUAAAGAGCAUCUUUCAGAAAUCGUUUUCUGCCUCUCUGUUCUUUCUCCAGUGAAGCAUUUUACGGCACCACCUAAAGCAAUCCAAAUAUUAAACUGAAAUGCUAUUCUGAGGUUGGGCUGCCAGGCGAAUCCAACAUCCCUUUCCUUUUUUACUUCCCGGGGCCCCUGUUUCUUGCUACCUUGCCCCUGAAGGAUAAGCACGAUGCUUGACUACUGCUCUAGAUGCCCCAUUGAUUGUGACUGUGAUUGCUAAGUCAACACUAGUCCAACAGAUCACCUCUGCAAGCAGUAACUAAGACCAACUUCACAGCCUCUAACGCUCAUCAAAGCACAGGACCACCCAACGCCAAGGUGCUUCAUGAAGGACAACAGCAAAGGCAGGACCCAGGUUCAAUCUGAGAGCCGUCGCCCUGGACAGCUUUUCAUCAAGAAAAGAAAAUGAAACGGAGUCAACAGGGAGGGGGUGAGGUGGACGAUGACUCACUUGGGGAUGAAUAACAACUGAGUUCCCUCCACAACUUCUCCUCACCCCCUACUCCAGCAGGCGGAUACUCUGAAAAGGUGUCCCCAGACGCCUCUGCCCAGCACUGGUGCGGUCCCUGCCACACAACACCGCCCCCAGAACCAGACGUGAAAGGCAGUCUGGAUGGGAGAGGUCUGCAGAUCUGAGUUCAAAUCCCAGACCCACCGCUAUCAAGCCUGGUGGCCUCAAGAGUUCCGUGCACCUUCGUUUUCACAUCUGAGAAAUGGGGAUGAUUCCACCCUCCUCACAGGUUUGUGAAGAGGAUGAAAUGAGGUCAACUCUCGGUAAAGCACCUGGCAGGUUGAGAUGCUCGGUAAAUUGUCAGCUCCCUCCCGGGUGCCUUCCCUCUUCUGCAGCCCCACCGCACCUCGAAAGAUGCCCACGCGUUUCUCAGGAAGGCCCGGCUGGUUGGCAAGGGAGAGGAAACCAG